ACCCUAACUAGAUAGAUAAUAUACGUUAUAAUCAUGAAGAUGGUUUUCCUAGGGGAGAGGCUUAUCCACUGAAUUCUAGAUGUGAUGACACCAAUGAUUUACCCUAAUGUGAGAAACUCUGCUGCAUAAUUCCUGGUGGUUGUGGACUUCAUUCAUCCUCUC
rnacentral:snRNA from 11 species